rnacentral:lncRNA from 1 species
AGUCUAGAAGCAGAUUCUGGGCCAGGGUCCACAUUUCAAACUAUGCCUGGAGGGACUAACACCUUCCUCAGAGCCUGUGUGCAGGGCUGGAAGGUCUGAUGAUUUUAUGGGUUGUCCUGACAGAGAUUAUUGGAGACUCCUUUGGUCUGCUGAUUUAUAACACUCCUAAAGCCUUGAGCUGAUGCCUGAGAGGAGUGGUUGUCUGGGAGGAUUUGGAGGAAGGCACAUGCAUGAAGACGAAUGGCCAUUUAAUCGUGAGUAAGAGAUGAAGAGAUGGGAGGAGGUUUGUCUGGGAGGAGGCAAUGAUCUGGUUGAUGAUUCUUUUGCUUCUAGAGGGAGAUUUUGGAACUACUGGGCAAUGCCUCUGGUACUCUAUUGUUCUAUCAAACCUCAUCCUGGCCCUGUGGCUUGGGCUCCAAAUUUCCUCCCCUUGUCGUGAUAGAGCAGGCAAGUUGCACAAUAUGUAUAUCAAACCCUGUCUCUCAGACCACACUUCCUUUUUGGUCCCCAAUGAGUAGAAGAAAUAACUCACUAUAGAAAUUGUUAUGCUGGGGGUGUGGCAUAGUGAUGACGAUACUGAUGAUGAUGUUGGCAAAGGAAAUGAACAAAGCAAAAGAGGAAGUCGGCAAAGCCAGGAUGGUGAUGGGCACUCUAGCUUUUGGGGAACUUUUCAGCUCUUGACUCACUCAGCACUUUUAAGCUGUAAGGUUCCCUCUGUUCUGACAUCUCAUUCCUCCAAGAUGGAGGCAGGCAUUUCUUCAAAGCUGAAAGUGCCUUGCUACCUGUUUUACUUACUUUCUAUUGCUGUGAUAACCAUGACUACUGUGCAGCCCAGACUGGCUUCAAGUAUAUGACAAUUCUCCUGCAUUUGUCUCCCAAGGACUGAGAUUACAGGCACGAGCUCCCAGGCCUGGUUGAUGUAUGUGUUCUACAUCUUCUUUACUUAUCCUCUUGCUCAGAACAGAGCUAAGCAAUGACUGUCCUCAUUACUUUCUCCAGACCUUGUCUUAUUCCUUAAGUUGACGACUUAGCACAGGCCUUAGGGGUCUGUUCUUUCCCUCUCAUCUUUUCUGUCCUGGUUAGUUUUAUGUCAACUAGACACAAGCUAGAAUCAUCAGAGAGAAGGGAGCCUUAACUGACAAAAUACAUCCAAAAGAUCUGUCUGUAGGCAAGCCUGUAGGAAAUUUUAUUAAUUGGUAUUUACUAGGGGAGAAAUCAGCCUGUUGUGGGUGGUGCCAUUCCUGGGCUGGUGGUCCUGGGUUCUAUAAGAAAGUAGGUUGACAAGCCAUGAGGAGCAAGCCAGUGAGCAGCAUCCCUCCAUGAUCGCUGCAUCAGCUCCUGGUUCCAGGUUCCUGCCUUGCUUGAGUUCCUGUCCUGACUUCCUUUGAUGAUAAACUGUGAUGUGGAAAUAUACUCAGUGCUGGUGAGCUGGAGCUGAGAAAUUAGCAGUGACUAAGAAAAGUCCAGCAUUAUUGAGGUGAAGUCUUCUGGGAAGUGUUUUCUGAGAGCACACAGAAGCUGUGUUCCAGAGAUGGCCAAAGUUGUAUUUCUCCACUGGCAGCCAAAUUUGGUCCUGUGGAAGAACCACCCAGGUGACACUGGUUCAUGGAAGAGCAGCUGAGUCUUGGCACUGACAAUACAGCCUCAGUGGCAGCUGAAGGCCCAGGAUUGAAAGGGUCAUACAGAGAAGUCGAGGCUUGUCACAAUGAAGAGAGCCCAGGAGAGUACUGGUAUAAGUCCAGCCCAGUUGCAGUAGAAGACCCCAGCAUUUUGGAGAUGCAAGUACCAUGGGAUGACCAUCAAGAACAGCAGCAGCAGUGGAGUGGAGCCAGCCAGAUCCUAAAAGACAAGCUGUUUGUGCUACAGAGGGCUGAGCUGCAGAAGUAACUCAAGCCCCUUAGAGGAGCCCAGAAGAUCUUGAGUGCAUCUCUGACAUUGGAACAUGCACUAUUUACAUUUUUGGAGUUUGGUUUUGCUUUGCUUUGCUUUGAUUGCGAUUUUGACCUAGUUCUUCUCUCUUGAAAUAUAAUUUAUUUUUGAUUUUACAGAAGUCCAAAGUUGAGAGACUGAAUUUUAAAAGAGAUUGAUUAUUUUAAAGAGAGAGAACUUUUAAUGUAUUUGAAUUUGUGAGGAUUGUGGGACCUUUAAGUUGUUAAUGUUUUAUAUUGUGAUAUAAAUAUUAACAUAACAUCUUGGGGAUAAAUGAGAAAAGAAAGGUUCUAAUUAAAAAGUGAUAAGUUGGGCCUUGAGAUCAGCAAUUUAGAGCACUGGCUACUUAUCCAGAGGUCCUGAGUUCAAGUCCCAGCACCCACAUGGUGGCUAACAGUGUCUGUAACAGUAGUUCCAUGGGAUUUAAUAUACUCUUCUAGUGUGUAAGAGUACAUGCAGACAAAAACACCCAUAUACAUAAAAUAUAUAAAUAAAUAAAUC